rnacentral:rRNA from 1 species
GCGAAGUAGCUGAUUUCACACUGUCAAGAAAAGUCUCUAUCGAGGUUAAAGGUACCCGUACCGCAAACCGACACAGGUGGGUGAGGAGAGUAUCCUAAGGCCAGCGAGAGAACUGUUGUUAAGGAACGCGGCAAAAUGACCCCGUAACUUAGGGAUAAGGGGUGCCACCAUCAGGUGGCCGCAGAGAAUAGGCCCAAGCGACUGUUUACCAAAAACAUAGGUUUCUGCU